rnacentral:rRNA from 1 species
UCUGGUUGAUCCUGCCAGUAGUCAUACGCUUGUCUCAAAGAUUAAGCCAUGCAUGUCUAAGUAUAAGCAAUUUAUACAGUGAAACUGCGAAUGGCUCAUUAAAUCAGUUAUCGUUUAUUUGAUAGUACCUUACUACUUGGAUAACCGUGGUAAUUCUAGAGCUAAUACAUGCUUAAAAUCCCGACUGUUUGGAAGGGACGUAUUUAUUAGAUAAAAAAUCAAUGUCUUCGGACUCUUUGAUGAUUCAUAAUAACUUUUCGAAUCGCAUGGCCUCGUGCUGGCGAUGGUUCAUUCAAAUUUCUGCCCUAUCAACUUUCGAUGGUAGGAUAGUGGCCUACCAUGGUUUCAACGGGUAACGGGGAAUAAGGGUUCGAUUCCGGAGAGGGAGCCUGAGAAACGGCUACCACAUCCAAGGAAGGCAGCAGGCGCGCGAAUUACCCAAUCCCGACACGGGGAGGUAGUGACAAUAAAUAACGAUACAGGGCCCUUUCGGGUCUUGUAAUUGGAAUGAGUACAAUGUAAAUACCUUAACGAGGAACAAUUGGAGGGCAAGUCUGGUA